rnacentral:lncRNA from 1 species
AAACACACAUCACACAAACCACUUAAUCUACAUUCACUUUGAAUUCUCAUGCAGCAGAGAACAUUCUCAGAACAAGCUCACGCAGCAGAGAACAUUCUCAGAACAAGCUGUUUUAUAUUCCACUAACUUUUAUCCAAGUAUACACUUGAGAUUAAUUUUGUAGAGUGCAGGAUUAAUUUUAAAAGGGUCACAAUUCAAACCCCCCCUUUCUUGUGACUAUUUCUUCCACUUCA